GAUGAAGAACGUAGCGAAAUGCGAUACGUAAUGUGAAUUGCAGAUUUCAGUGAAUCAUCGAAUCUUUGAACGCACAUUGCGCCCGCUAGUAUUCUGGCGGGCAUGCCUGUUCGAGCGUCAUUUCAACCAUCAAGCCCUAGGCUUGCGUUGGAGCCCUGCGGCUGCCGCAGGCUCCCAAAUCCAGUGGCGGGCUCGUCGUCGUACCGAGUGCAGUAAACAUCCUCGCUCAGGGAACGUGACGGGUUCUUGCCGUGAAACCCCCCACAUAUCAAGGUUGACCUCGGAUCAGGUAGGAAUACCCGCUGAGCUUAAGCAUAUCAAUAAGCGGAGGA
rnacentral:misc_RNA from 1 species